GAUGAAGAACGUAGCGAAAUGCGAUAAGUAAUGUGAAUUGCAGAAUUCAGUGAAUCAUCGAAUCCUUGAACGCACAUUGCGCCCGUCAGUAUUCUGGCGGGCAUGCCUGUUCGAGCGUCAUUACGCCCCUCAAGUCCCCUGUGGACUUGGUGUUGGGGAUCGGCGAGGCUGGUUUUCCAGCACAGCCGUCCCUUAAAUUAAUUGGCGGUCUCGCCGUGGCCCUCCUCUGCGCAGUAGUAAAACACUCGCAACAGGAGCCCGGCGCGGUCCACUGCCGUAAAACCCCCCAACUUUUUAUAGUUGACCUCGAAUCAGGUAGGACUACCCGCUGAACUUAAGCAUAUCAAAGCGGAGGA
rnacentral:misc_RNA from 1 species